rnacentral:rRNA from 1 species
UGGGGAAUCUUAGACAAUGGGGGAAACCCUGAUCUAGCCGUGCCGCGUGAUCGAUGAAGGCCUUAGGGUUGUAAAGAUCUUUCAGAUGGGAAGCGGUACCAUCAGAAGAAGCCCCGGCUAAUCCCGUGCCAGCAGCCGCGGUAAUACGGAGGGGGCUAGCGUUAUUCGGAAUUACUGGGCGUAAAGCGCACGUAGGCGGACUGGAAAGUCAGAGGUGAAAUCCCAGGGCUCAACCUUGGAACUGCCUUUGAAACUCCCAGUCUUGAGGUCGAGAGAGGUGAGUGGAAUUCCGAGUGUAGAGGUGAAAUUCGUAGAUAUUCGGAGGAACACCAGUGGCGAAGGCGGCUCACUGGCUCGAUACUGACGCUGAGGUGCGAAAGCGUGGGGAG